ACGCUCGACACCUACGGGAGCCAGCAGUGGGGAAUAUUGCACAAUGGGGGAAACCCUGAUGCAGCGACGCCGCGUGAAGGAAGAAGUAUCUCGGUAUGUAAACUUCUAUCAGCAGGGAAGAAAAUGACGGUAUCUGACUAAGAAGCCCCGGCUAACUACGUGCCAGCAGCCGCGGUAAUCUGAGCGGGCUGGCAAGGC
rnacentral:rRNA from 1 species